rnacentral:tRNA from 1 species
GCGGACGUGGCGGAAUUGGCAGACGCGCAGGAUUAAGGAUCCUGUGGUAGAAAUACCGUAUGGGUUCGACUCCAAUCGCCCGCA